CAGCACCUCAAGUGGUCAGGAUGAUUAUUGGGCCUAAAGCAUCCGUAGCCGGCGCUGUAAGUUUUCGGUUAAAUCUGUACGCUCAACGUACAGGCUGCCGGGAAUACUGCAGCGCUAGGGAGUGGGAGAGGUAGACGGUACUCGGUAGGAAGGGGUAAAAUCCUUUGAUCUAUUGAUGACCACCUGUGGCGAAGGGGGUCUACCAGAACACGUCCGACGGUGAGGGAUGAAAGCUGGGGGAGCAAACCGGAUUAGAGACCCGAGUAGUCC
rnacentral:rRNA from 1 species